GAAGGGUUCCCCUCAUGCCCGUCUCCAGCAAGGCGCUCAGCGGAGCCUUUGCCUAAAUUCAGGGGGCAGCAGACACUGACCGCUUUUGCCUAGUCUCGUGUAAUUUGAUUCUAAGCUCCUUUUGCCCCCACCACGCAGCUCCAUGGAAACCCAUCACUUUCCACGCCGGCCCUUGUCAGCAGAGGAAUGAGUAAAUGAGGAGGGAGCAAAAAGCUUUAGCUGCACAUCUAGCAUCAGCAUGAACUGCAAAAGCAACAGAGUACCUAUGUCUGACAGUGGUUCUUUAGAAUUUCCUCUAGAGACUCAGCCUGGAGACAAGACCACCAGAAGGAUGACAAUGCCUUUUGGGAAAACAAAACCAGUAGACAUUGGUAUUUUCUUGAACAGUCAUCUUCUUAAUGUUGAUAGCAAUUUAAAUCAAGGCUUUCCAGGUGCAACGGCAAGAAGUUAGCAUUUCUUCAAGCUCAUGACUGGGCAUCUUUCUGAAAAAGGAAAACCACAAGCAUGUGAUGGAAAUACAGCCAUACCUUGCUAAAUAAUGUGAAGCAUGGCAGUCAUAGCUGUUCAGUUCUUCCUGCUCAGCAUUGCAACAGUAGGAAAAACCUGAUGAGGAGAGAAGCUGCCACGUGGUGAAUUAUCUGUUCUGUGAAAUUCUGAAAUAAAUGAAUUACACUUUUCCUAGCAGUUAGACCAUUCCUUAAGAAAAUAAAAAAAAACGAAGUAUCAGACACAGCCAAAUGCGUCAGGCAGAUGUGGCUGGAGAAGCUACCUGGGGUGCCAGCUGGAUUUAUACUUGCAUUCUUGGAGAGACUGAAGACACGAAUGGCUGCUUUGAGUUUAAUCUGUGUUAUUUCCUGCCUGCUGGCGUUGCUUACAGGACAUUUGCUGUCCACUCUGUUAGCCCUUCAAAUGUUGUUUUUUGAG